rnacentral:lncRNA from 1 species
CACACCAUUACGAACAACAGACACAAUGGAGAAAGUCAUUUUCUUCUGUAUUUUUUCUUCCUGGAUUAUGCAAACAGGUUCCAGUGAUGUUUCAGAACAUGAUGUAACUCUAUUAAGAGUCCAGCUAAACAAAAGCAUCAGCCUGAACUGCAACAUGACUGACAGAUAUGAAAUUGCAUGGUUUCACCAGUAUUCUCAACAAUUAAAUCAACUGCUAUCUGCAAAGACUAGCAGUGCGUCAGGAAGACUUCUAGUUAUGUACAAUCAAAACUGGAGUCGUCUGAACAUUGAUGAUCACCACGGAGAUGUGGGGAUCACCACAGUCAUGCUAGUUAUCUCUGGAGUAACAGAGUCAGAUUCAGGCCUUUAUUUCUGUGGAACAAAAUCAGAAACGUCAAAGUCUUCAAAGAUGCACUUUGAUAAACCCAUCAGACUACAGAUCGAGGACAAGCUGACAGAUGGAGAGUACAAAACUCAUUCCGUCACAGAUCCGCCAGAGGAUGCUGAGCUCACAGGUGAGAGCGGAAAUCAUUCUUAUGUCUCAUUUUCUCACAACUUUGAAAUAAGUGCAGAUUCUUCAAGCAUGUAGAUGUGAAUUAAGUGUUUGAACUUUCUGUGUUUCUUAAUUCUGCACAAUGCUGUUGUCUCUCUGUAGAUGGAGUGACUACAAAAGAGAGGGCAUUGAUGUUCGGUGGUGUUGGUCUGGCUGCGUUGGUGUUUUUUCUGGCUACAGUAAUUGCAGGAGGAAUCAUUCACUAUCGCGGCUGGCAGAAAGGAUGGACCGCAGCCAAACGCUCAUCUCUCAUGAAUCACAAAUCAGCUAAAUAACUUCUGGUUUAUUUCAUAGCCUAACUCAAUAAAUCCCUGAGUUUUGCUUUGCAUUGCUGUAGGUUACCACUAAUUAAAACAGAAAACUGCAGAGAAACUGAGAUGUGGCAAAUGUCUUUUUUUCAGCACCAGUGAAACUUAAAUACUCAUUAAUAGUUGUGGUUAUUACUCAGGUUUGUGUGGUUCAUUUGUGCUUGUCGGUAAUAUUUGGUCAAAUAUAAAAGACUGCUACUCUCACUGUCCUUAAUGCAGUAUUUAUUCAUUUAAAAUAUAAACAAGCUUAAAGUUCAAGUCGUUUUAUGCAACUGUUGUUAUAUGUAGAGAUUAAGUUAAAAAAGAAC